rnacentral:snoRNA from 1 species
AUCCUUUUCUAGUUCAUAAGCAUGAUGAUUGGGUGUUCACACAGAUGUGUGAGAUGUGCCUCCCUCAAACCUUGUUAUGACAUCGGCACGUUACCUGUCUGUCG